AUGAAGGCCGGCAAGGCCGGCUUCGAGGGCCCACAGGAGGCGCAGCACCGAAUCCACGUCACCCAAGCGUCAAGAACCUCGAGAAGGGUGAUGAUGAUGGGUGGAUCUCAUCGAUCCGCACCUCCUCACCCACCACAUCGCCGGAUCCGCGACAUGGGAAGGUCAUGGGGAAGCAAAAGCUCGGUGUCAAGACUGAGGAGGACUCCAAUCCUCGUGACUAGAUGGUGGCAAUGGCAUCUUGCAUACCAUAUUCUCAUGGGUGGGUGCAGCGAGGGGCUGGGCAAGCACGGUGCGCAGUGGAUGGAGGUCAUCUCGUGGGAGCCCAGGGCAUUCGUCUACCACAACUUCCUGUUUGGGGGGCUUGUGAUGCAGCACGCCAAGCAACAGCAAGGGGAGGGCAUCUCUGAAAUGUCGCUGCUGGUGGUGAUGGAUGGUUGCCGCUGGUGGUGGUAG
rnacentral:rRNA from 1 species